rnacentral:sRNA from 1 species
GGAACUUUUCCCACGGUCGCGGGCCCGGG